rnacentral:lncRNA from 1 species
AUAUUUUGGUGAUAUUUGAUGUUUGGUGAGGCUAGAAAUUAAAUGGGAAAUUUUGGUGUGAAAAUCUGAAUUUUUGCUUAACGUAUAGACAUGUGUGAUUAUUGACCCGAGACUGAUAAAUUGAAUCUAAAUUCACAGUCACUGAGGUAAUUUAGGUAAAAUUAGAGUGUAGAAAGUGAAAAGAAUUGAUUUGGAGUUAAAUUGGAGAUUUUAGCCGAUUAAGCCGAGUAUAGUGUGACUUAGGUCGAAUAUCACAUUUAAGUGAUUAAUCAAACAUUUUGCAUCCCAUCGCAUGCAUUCAUUUAGAUUUAGAGAGCCUAAAAUAGUUUAUGAUAAAUUGACACAAUUUAUUGAAAUUCGUGUCACGUAUGAUGUAUAGGUGGUGAGCCCUCUAACAAGGGUAAAGAGAUUAUGCCCGAAGACCGGGAAUAAGAGUAUAUCAAACUCCUAGUUCUAUGAGUAACCUUAUUAUCAUUUUAAUUAUCUAAAGUAUAUUUUAAUUCGGUUUUGGUUAAAUUUUAUGAAAAUGAGAUAAAUGGCAAAUUUUAGGUUUUAUAAACAAAAAUGAGUUUAAAUAAAAAGAUUUUAUAAAUUAUUUUGGAAAUUGAAUGAUGAUUUUGAAAAUAGAGUAAUUGGAGACCAUGAUAUGUUGUAAAUUUAAGAUUGAAUUAAUGGCUUUUGUUAUUGUGUUGGCAUGAUUGGCUGGGCUGUGUUUGAUGAAUUGUAUGAAUUGGUUUAUUUUACCCUUGCAGGCUGGGUAGUAAUAUAUUAGCUCUGUCAUGCUGUCAAAAUUUUAUUGUAUGGUGGGUUUAGCUUACUGCAGUAGGCGGGUUUCCGUGGACUAGCCUAUUAAAGGGGCACGAUAAACCCCAUUAUAUUUUACCUCGAUUGGAGAGGCGAGUAGGGUAACUCCCGAGGUAUGAUUUUAAAGUUCACUUCACAUCAAACCACCACGUGAAGGUGAGCUCGGCCAACGCCAAUGACCGGCUAUAUUUUCAAAAUGAAAACAUGUUUUAUGCGUAAAUGACUUUCUAAUAGCCUUGGCGGACUCAGUUGGGAUAGCCCUCGACCAAGGUAUCCUAGAUAACUGAGUAUGAUAAUAAUUUUUGGCAUGAGCCAAGCUUUUUAAGAAAUUCAUAAGCCAUACUAAUUACUUGAUUUAAAUAAAUUGAUUUCAUUUGGUUGAAAUAAGUUGAAAAAUGAUAAAUUACAGUUUGAUGAAAUGUUUUAAUAGUCUCCUUUUACUCGCCUUUACAUAUUUUAAAUGAUAUUUGUUUACUCACUGUGAUUUUAUAAUCUCACCACCCUCCUUUCCACUCAUUUCAAGCAUCAGGAUAGUUGGUAAAUAGCUUAUUUCAUCGAGGACUACAAUUGGAUUGGCAUCCUCAAAAUAUGUAGGCUCAAUUCUUUUGACACUUUCAAUCGUUAGUGGGCCCACGUGUCACUGCAAAUUUAAUUUUAUACUUUGGUUAUCUAUAUUACAAUAUAUAUGAACUUAUUUUACUUUUUCACUGUAAAAAAUUAUUUACGCAGUGUUCUAAAAAUAUUGUUUUAUGAAAAAAUUGAAUAUUUUAUUCUAUAUUUUUAUUAUAUUCAAAUAGUUAUAAUUUCAUUUUAAAUGAAAGUUUUAGACAUUUAAAUUUAUUUUUGAUUAUGAAUUAUGUGUUUUAUACUUGCAUACUACAUUUUUAACUGGUUUCGAAACUUUUGA